CCCCUUAUAGCUCAGUUGGCAGAGCGUCAGACUGUAAUUGCGAAGAAGAUUAUCUGAAUGUCCCCUGUUCGACCCAGGGUGAGGGGA